AGUAAUGAAGUAAAACUACAAUUAGUUUCGACCUAAUAAUAAGAGAAUAUAUCUCCUUACUU
rnacentral:tRNA from 1 species